UCCGGGGUAAUUAGCCCAACACUUUGCAGAAACGUAUUUAUUUUGAUUCAUCCAUUCAUUUAUUAACUCCUUCUAAGAUAUCUGUUAGUACCUCUUCCAGGCUAAUUGUACUACUCUUCAUUGGGGGCUGUGAGAUCCAUCUUCUAAGAUGGUCCCCAGUGAUGCCUACCUCCUGCUACUCAUACCCUUGUGUAGUCCCUUGCACAUUGCACAUCAGAAAGCAUGGCAUGUCAAUUCUGAGGUUAGGCGGUAAGAGACUAUGGCUUCCUUCCUUGGGCUUUAUAUAUCUUGGAUCACUCUCUCUGGGGAAACCAUGUUGUCUACAGCCCUAUGAGUGGCCCGUGUGGUGAGAAGCUGUAUCCUCCUACCAACAGCCAUGUGAGGGAGCUGUAAAGUGGAUCCUGUUGACUCAAGUUUCCUCCUGGCUGACACCUUGGUUGCACCCUUACAAGAGGCCCUAUGCAAGUACCAGCUGCUCUAGAAUUCCUGACUCAGAAACUGUGAGAUGAGUGUUUGUUCUUUUACCAUGACACUUUUGGGACAAUUUUUUUAUAUAGAAAAACUAAUACAGAGGCCCGUGGAUGAACAAGGCACUGUUCCUGUCUUCACGAAGCUUCUAGUUCAGAAAAAAGUGCUGAUUUACUGUUAAGCCCAACGUAAGCAAAACGAGAGCACUUUGGAGCAUCACUUCUCAGUCUUGGAGGCCAGAGACGCUGAAGAAAUGAUGCCUCAUCUGUGGCUCAAAGGAUCCGGCCGAGGAGGGAGCCAAAGCAAAGCUUGGCGCUGAAGAGGCGUGGUGUUCCAGAUAGAAGGAAGAGGGUGAGCGCAGGCCCGGGGCAGGUAGAAGAAUCACAGUCGUUCCCAAGGACAGGGCUCCUGUGGGCAGUGAGAAAGGAACAUGGAUGCCACAGGGAGAAGUGUGAUGUUUGGCCUGAAGUUCUAGGAUGAACAUGGCUGCAACCAGAGCAUGAGGCAGGCUCCUACGUGUCUACGAAGUCUCAACUUAGGUGUCACUGCUUCUUGGACACAUAAGCUGGUAUCUGAUUCCCAUCAGUGCUACCUCUCAUCCCAUGGUGAAAUAAUUUGUGAUUCUCUCUACCCUACUGGUUGGUGAACUCCUUAAAGACAGGAGCCAUCUUUCCCGUGCCUGACACUGACAGCACAGGAUCUGGUAUAAAAUAGAUGGCGAUUUCUUUGAAGUCAGGAGGAACUCCCCAGCUGGAUGACCGGGGCAGAAACGGGCUCCAACUGAUCAUGAUAUGAAUUUGAAGGGAACAAUUAAGGCACUAUUUCCAUUUUGAUUCGAAUAGUAAGCCUUUUUACUUGCAUGCCUUUCAACCUGUCUGCAUUCCAGCUGAAACUUCAAUGAAGCCUUAUGUCAGAGCUCUUAAAAGGCCUUUGAAAAGGAAACAUGUGAAAUCAUAAAUGCUUCAGAAAUAAAAAAAAUGUUUCUCAGCCCAUUACAUUUUUAACCCCUUGUUUCUGCUCACAGACUUUGUUAAAGGUCAGUAGGACUGUUUCAACAGUCUACGCUUUAGUCUUC